rnacentral:rRNA from 1 species
AUGCAAGUCGAACGGCAGCACGGGUGCUUGCACCUGGUGGCGAGUGGCGAACGGGUGAGUAGUGCAUCGGAACGUACCCAGUAGUGGGGGAUAACUACCCGAAAGGGUGGCUAAUACCGCAUAUACUGUGCGCAGGAAAGCAGGGGACCGUAAGGCCUUGUGCUACUGGAGCGGCCGAUGUCAGAUUAGCUAGUUGGUGGGGUAAAGGCCUACCAAGGCGACGAUCUGUAGCGGGUCUGAGAGGAUGAUCCGCCACACUGGGACUGAGACACGGCCCAGACUCCUACGGGAGGCAGCAGUGAGGAAUUUUGGACAAUGGGGGCAACCCUGAUCCAGCCAUGCCGCGUGAGUGAAGAAGGCCUUCGGGUUGUAAAGCUCUUUCGGACGGAAAGAAAACGGAUGGGUUAAUACCCUGUUCGGAUGACGGUACCGUCAUAAGAAGCACCGGCUAACUACGUGCCAGCAGCCGCGGUAAUACGUAGGGUGCGAGCGUUAAUCGGAAUUACUGGGCGUAAAGCGUGCGCAGGCGGUUGAUUAAGACAGGCGUGAAAUCCCCGGGCUUAACCUGGGAACUGCGCUUGUGACUGGUCGGCUAGAGUACGGCAGAGGGGGGUGGAAUUCCACGUGUAGCAGUGAAAUGCGUAGAGAUGUGGAGGAACACCGAUGGCGAAGGCAGCCCCCUGGGCCGAUACUGACGCUCAUGCACGAAAGCGUGC